CAAGCAAAGAGAACUUUAGUUUGACCCCCCGAAACUAAGUGAGCUACUCCAAGACAGCCUGAUUUAGGGCAAACCCGUCUCUGUGGCAAAAGAGUGGGAAGAGCUUCGAGUAGAGGUGAUAAAUCUACCGAACUUAGUAAUAGCUGGUUGUUUGAAAAAUGGAUAGGAGUUCAGCCUUUUAGCUUCUCACUUCAACACCUCGUCUAUACUUCAAUUAGACUCCGAGAAACCAAAAGAGUUAWUYUAAGGGGGUACAGCCCCUCAGAUAAAGGACACAACCUUCAUAGCAGGGUAAAGAUCACAUUUAAUUUAAGGCAAAAUAUCCCGGUGGGCCUAAAAGCAGCCAUCCCUUAAGAAAGCGUUAAAGCUCAAAUAUAUUUAACCUUCCAUCGAUCCUGAUAACAUAAUCUCAUCCCCCUUUUAAUAUCAAACUAUCCACUGCAAACAGUGGAGAAAUUAUGCUAAUAUGAGUAAUAAGAGGAACUAAAUUCUCUCCAUGCACAAGUGUAAUUCGGAACGGACCAACCACCGAACUUUAACGCCCCCAAACAAAGAGGGCAGUGGACAACAAAAAAGAUGACUAGAAAAACGUCCAACACAAACCCGUUAACCCCACACUGGUGUGCUGCAAAGGAAAGACUAAAAGGAGCGGAAGGAACUCGGCAAACACUUGAAGCCUCGCCUGUUUACCAAAAACAUCGCCUCUUGCAAAUAAAUGAAUAAGAGGUCCCGCCUGCCCUGUGACUAUAUGUUUAACGGCCGCGGUAUUUUGACCGUGCGAAGGUAGCGCAAUCACUUGUCUUUUAAAUGAAGACCUGUAUGAAUGGCGUCACGAGGGCUUAGCUGUCUCCCCCUCCCAGUCAAUGAAAUUGAUUUCCCCGUGCAGAAGCGGGGAUAAAAACAUAAGACGAGAAGACCCUAUGGAGCUUAAGACGCCAGGGCAGCUCAUGUUAAACAUUCCAAGACAAAGGAAAUAAACUGAAUGAAAUCCUGCCCUAGUGUCUUUGGUUGGGGCGACCACGGGGAAAAACUUAACCCCCAUGUGGAAUAGGAAUACUACUUUCCUAAACUCAAGAGCUCCCGCUCUAAUAAACAGAACUUCUGACCAAAAGGAUCCGGCAAUGCCGAUCAACGGACCGAGUUACCCUAGGGAUAACAGCGCAAUCCUCUUAAAGAGUCCCUAUCGACAAGAGGGUUUACGACCUCGAUGUUGGAUCAGGACAUCCUAAUGGUGUAGCCGCUAUAAG
rnacentral:rRNA from 1 species